UACGAACUGUGCAAACGUUAUUCGGAAUCACUGGGCUUACAGGGUGCGUAGGCGGCUUGUUAAGUAGGGUGUGAAAGCCCCCGGCUCAACCGGGGAAUUGCGCCCUAAACUGGCGAGCUGGAGUGAGAUAGGGGUGUGUGGAACUUCCGGUGGAGCGGUGAAAUGCGUAGAUAUCGGAAGGAACACCGGUGGCGAAAGCGGCGCGCUGGAUCCCUUCUGACGCUGAGGCGCGAAAGCCAGGGGAGCGAACGGG
rnacentral:rRNA from 1 species